rnacentral:rRNA from 1 species
GACGAACGCUGGCGGCGUGCUUAACACAUGCAAGUCGAACGAGACGAUUGAAAGCUUGCUUUCGAAAGUCGAGUGGCAAACGGGUGAGUAACGCGUAGACAACCUGCCUUUGAGAUGGGGACAACAGUUCGAAAGGACUGCUAAUACCGAAUGUUGUAUAUUUUCCACAUGGAAGAUAUAUUAAAGAUGGCCUCUAUUUAUAAGCUAUCGCUCAAAGAUGGGUAUGCGUCUGAUGAGCUGGUUGGUGGGGUAACGGCCUACCAAGGCGACGAUCAGUAGCCGGUCUGAGAGGAUGAACGGCCACAUUGGGACUGGGACACGGCCCAGACUCCUACGGGAGGCAGCAGUGGGGAAUCUUCCACGAUGGACGAAAGUCUGAUGGAGCAACGCCGCGUGAGUGAAGAAGGGUUUCGGCUCGUAAAGCUCUGUUGUCGGGGACGAAUGUGCAGUAUUUGAAUAAAGUACUGCAAUGACGGUACCUGACGAGGAAGCCACGGCUAACUACGUGCCAGCAGCCGCAGUAA